rnacentral:rRNA from 1 species
GAUGAACGCUGGCGGCGUGCCUAAUACAUGCAAGUCGAGCGAACGGACGAGAAGCUUGCUUCUCUGAUGUUAGCGGCGGACGGGUGAGUAACACGUGGAUAACCUACCUAUAAGACUGGGAUCACUUCGGGAAUCCGUAGCUAAUACCGGUUAAUCUUUUGAACCGCAUGGUUCAAAAGUGAAAGACGGUCUUGCUGUCACUUAUAGAUGGAUCCGCGCUGCAUUAGCUAGUUGGUAAGGUAACGGCUUACCAAGGCAACGAUGCCUAGCCGACCGGAGAGAGGGGACGGCCCACAUGGAACUGAAAAACGGUCCAGACUCCUAAGGGGGGCAGCAGGAGGGAAACUUGCGCAAUGGGGGAAAGCCUGACCGGGCAAGCCCGGGUGGGUGAUGAAGGUCUUCGGAUCGGAAAACCCUUUUAUUAGGGAAAAACAAAUGUGGAAGUAACUGUGCACAACUUGACGGUACCUAAUCAGAAAGCCACGGCUAACUACGUG